rnacentral:lncRNA from 10 species
CAUUCAUGGAUUAGUGGAUUAAUGAGUUACCAUGGGAGUGGGUCUGGUGGCUUUAUAAGAGGAGGAAGAGAGACCUGAGCUAGCAUGCUCAGCCCCCUCACCCCCUGUGCUACCUUGGGACUCUGCAGAGUCCUCGACAGUAAGAAGGCUCUCACCUGUUAUGCCCCUGGACCUUGGACUUCUCAGCCUCCAUAACUGGUGCCUGUGCAGCAGUAUUCACUGUGAUAGGAAGUGAGAAGCAGUCUGAGUGUUCAUUGCUGAGGGAAUCAAGGGCAAAAUAUCAUGGAUGCACUCAUGGACAAAUAAGCAGCAGUUUGAAGCAACAACCUAGAUGGAUGUACAGCCAUCAAGAGGAUCUUAAAGUGUGGUCUUUAGUGGAAAAAAAGCAGAAGCAAUGUAUGGGAGACUGAGUAAUUACAUAUAAGCUCACAUCACUAUCUCUUCCACCACUGUCAUCCAUCAUGACUGAUCUGGGAGAUGAAACAGCACAGAUCUAAAGGACGUGGUAAGAAUCGAGAUCACCAGAGAUCAGUAGAUACUUGCAUACUUGCAGGAUUAACACUGUCUGGAUUCCAACGAUCAGCUGAGUAUGUUCAAGAUAAAGCUAUAGUACAUAUUUUAGAUUGGGGAUUGGCAACAAAUAGCUGUAGACUACCUUCUGAGGAAUAAGUGUUUUCACAUGUGUGGGUGUCAUUUCUAAUCCCAGCAUCACAGUCAGGUCCAGAUACCUGUUUCUGAUCUUUGGUCCUAUGCCUAAUCUCCUCCAAGAGUCCUUCCCUGGAUCUCCUAUCUAAGCAAGAUGCUCGAUGCCCACCAAUGAGUACUGCACCAAGUUCAUUUCCACUAGCCUGUGUUACAAUUUGUGUUUCUGUAUGUUUCCCUUACUUGUUAUUCUUUGUCUUCCGCAUUAGACUGAAAGCACUGCCACGGGGACCAUGUCUAGGACAUAGGAGGUCCUUAAUAAAUAUUUCUUGAGUGGAUAAAUGGUGAACCAUAGGGGUGGCAUAAGAGCAAAUAGAGGGUAGAUGAGCACUAAUCCAUUCACCACCCUGUUUAUGGGUGAUGGAUCUUGGAUGGCCUUUUUCAUAGUCAAAACAUACUUUUUAGAUCUGGCUUCUUGGGAUGUAUUCAAGGAUGCUAGCCAUGUUUGAGACUGUAAAUAUGUCUAGUGAAUAGGGCUUCAGGCUGUGUGUGUUUGCCUUGUUUUGCACAGAAUUCGGCACAGCCCCAAGCACAGAUGGGUGCUUCAUAAAUAUUAUGGAAGGAUGAUGACACAAAAGAUUAUUUAAUACCUCUACAUGGGGUGGAGACGGACCUCAGGCCACAAACAUACUUUCAAUGUGUUUUACUUCUGAAAUCAUUUGAACCAAAAUGUUUCAGCAACACAGAUUCAUCUGCAACCACAAAUCAGACACAUUCAGAAUGACAAAGCCCCAAAAGAAUGCCAUUUUCAAGGCUGAAACUGUAUUAUUCUGGGCUAAAUGGAAUCCUUGUUUUAGUGACACUGUAAGAGUAGAAAUUAAAGACACUGAAAAUCUUCCCUUGGGGAGCCACAAUUAUCUGUGAACAAUGAAAGUUUGUCUGAAUAAUUCAUCAGCCUCAAGGGUACAGGCCUCCCCUUAUUCUGGAAUCCCAGGAGUUUAGGCAAGUGUGUCAUUUAAUGGAUCUCAACUGUGUCCUCAGUUGUUAUUAUUCCAGGGCCUGGCAUUUAUGGGCACAUUCCUAUAAUUUUACUAAUUAAAGAAAAAAUAAGCUAUAUGGGAAACCACUGUCAAGGUCGAAAUUUUGAAGCUGCAUUGAUUUUACCUAGGAAGAAAGAAGCUUAUAAAGUGUCCAUCAUGAGAAUCCACCUGGGACCUACACAACAGAUCAAAUACCCAGAACAAAUCACCAAGUCAGAGCCCCACAGAAUUCUGAUUCCCAACCAGCAAGCAUGAAUAAUCCUUUUAAAUGGUCACUUACAUAUCAGAACAGGUCCUUUGUGAAAUUUCUAAGCAAGGCCUCUGGUUUCUGACUGAAACAGAGAUUUAUUGAGAAGGAGGGGUAAAGUGAAAUCAAGAACUACUGGGAAAUUUCCACAAGAAACAAGGACAAAUGGUUUUUGUUGUCAGAAUAAAACCAGCCUCCCCUAGCCAUGGUUUGGAAAGUUAUUUGCUAGCCCACAGGGGACAAUAUUCUCAACUGGUUUAUCAGGGACCCUUUUGAUCCAAUUAUAAUUAUUGGGCAGAUACAGUAGUACCCUAUUAUCAGAAGACCUAGUUUCAAAUCCUGAGUCAAUUUCUAAUUCACUGUGUGACCUUGUACAAGUCACUUAAGCUCUCUGAUCAUUGGUUCAACAUCUUUAAUAUGAGGAGAGUAAUACCUACCUCAAUUACCUCAUAAAAUUAUUGCAAAGAUCAAGUGAGUUGAUAUGUUACAAAUUAUUUCUAAAUUAUAAGAUUCUGUAUAAGUGGAAGGGUUAAAUAUACUCCCAUAUUAUUAAAUACCCUACAUAUCACUCAGGAUCCUAUAUGACUCUGAGUUCUCAAUUUCUAGAAAUGGUCCCAUUUUUGCUUUGUUCCCUACAAUUCUACGGAGUCUUUUUUUUUUUUAAAGGAAGGGUGUAGGCAAAGGUAAAUGGGAGAAAACAUGGAAUCACAUACCACUCUUUGGUGCUGCUAGGCAAGAAUUUUAAACUGAGUUUAGUUCACCAUCGUGGACUUAAGGUCCAUAUCACCUCAGGGAGACAAGUAGAGUGGGAGGCAUCCAAAAGGUAGGUGAUUCUUCUCCCCUCUAGUGAAGAAUACAAGGUCAAUUUACAAAAAAGCACCAGCAGCAAAUAAUUGGAAAAUUAAAUUCAUAAAACAUUCAUAAUAGCGUCAAAAUAAAGAAAAUACUCAGAAAUAAAUUUAACAAAAAUUGUAUAAGAUCUCUACAUUAAAAAUUAUGAAAUACAUGUAAGAGAAAUUAAAGAAAACCUAAAUAGAGAGAUAUACCACAUUCAUGGAAUGGAAGAUUCAAGAUUAUUAAAAUACUAUUCUCCCCAAAUGGCUCUAUAGAUUCAACAUAAUCCCAAUCAAAAUCCCAGUAGGCUUUGGUAGAAAUUGAGAUGUUGGUUCUAAAAUGAAAUAAAAUGCAGGGGACCUAGAAUAUAUAAUUUCCCUUUAAUUUGACAAAGAAGAAAAACAUAUUGGGAAGCUCACCUAAUUUCAGUGUAAUAUUUACAUACGAAUCAACAAAUGGAUCAGUGGUAUAGAAUAGAGAAUGCUGAAAGAGAUCUACAUAUAUAUGGUCAACAGAUUUUUAAUAAUGGUGCCAAGGCUAUUCAGGGGAAAGAAAAUUCUUUUUUAAAAAUGGGAUUGGAAAAACUGGAUAAGGGAAAUAAGUGAACCUCGACCCCUACCUUAUACCGUGCUCAAAAAUUAAUUCAAAAUCAUUCUAGACAUAAGUGUAAAAGUUGAAACUGCAAUGACUCUAGAAGAAAAUAUGGAGAAAAUAUCUCUCUGACCUUGGAGGAAGCAAAAAUUUCUUGUAGUUGACAAAGACAUAUAUAAUAAUCAUAUAAUCCAUUAAUUAUAAGAAAAAUAAACUGGACUUCAUCAAAAUUUAAAACUUCUGCCCAUUAAAAGAUACUAAUAAGAAGAUUAAAAGUAGCCAGGUUCAGUGGCUCAUACCCAUAAUCCCAGCACUUUGGGAGGCUGAAGCAGGGGGAUCACUUCAGGCCAGGAAUUUGAUACCAGCCUAGGCAACAUAGCAAGAUCUCAUUUCUACAAAAAAUGUUUUUAAAAUUAACUGGGUAUGAUGGCGCAUGUGUAGUCCUAGCUACUCAGGAGGCUGAGUUGGGAGGAUUGCUUGAGCCCAGCAGUUGAAGGUUACAGUGAACUAUGAUCGUACCACUGCACUCCAGCCUGGGCAACAGAGUGAGACCCUUUCUCUAAAAUAAACAAAUAAAUAAUUUUUAUGUCAUCUGAAACUAAGAUCAUACUGAAAUUUUCCCUCAGUGUCUCCAGAAUGUCUUUUUUGAAUGGUUUGCCCAAUGUAGUAUCUCAUUUAGAACCACGUGUUAUGGCCCUUCAGUAUUUUUUUGUUGUUGUUGUUGAGACAGAGUUUCACUCUUGUUCUCUUGUUGCCCAG